rnacentral:rRNA from 1 species
AUUGAACGCUGGCGGCAUGCUUUACACAUGCAAGUCGAACGGCAGCACAGGGAGCUUGCUCCUGGGUGGCGAGUGGCGAACGAGUGAGUAAUGUAUCGGAACGUGCCUGGUAGUGGGGGAUAACUACUCGAAAGAGUGGCUAAUACCGCAUGAGAUCUUUGGAUGAAAGCGGGGGACCUUCGGGCCUCGUGCUACUGGAGCGGCCGAUAUCAGAUUAGGUUGUUGGUGGGGUAAAGGCCUACCAAGCCUGCGAUCUGUAGCUGGUCUGAGAGGACGACCAGCCACACUGGGACUGAGACACGGCCCAGACUCCUACGGGAGGCAGCAGUGGGGAAUUUUGGACAAUGGGCGCAAGCCUGAUCCAGCAAUGCCGCGUGCAGGACGAAGGCCUUCGGGUUGUAAACUGCUUUUGUACAGAACGAAAAGUCUCUGGCUAAUAUCUAGAGAUCAUGACGGUACUGUAAGAAUAAGCACCGGCUAACUACGUG